UAUUAGAGAAAACUUCCCGUCCGCUCAAAUAUCUUGAUAGCAAAUCCUAACGUGUGCGCUUCAAUUGGCAGGACAAAGAAUGAAAAAAAAUCACAUCUGAAGUCGAUACUAGCACGAUCGACGGUCCAGAUUUUGAGCAAAAUAGCUUUAGAGAAUGGAAGAUCAAAUGCACGGCUCGGCGGAGAAGCAGCCAAAAUCCAACUUUGCUUCAACAGAUAAAUCCAUACCAAUAACAACCAAACUUUUAUAAGCAUAGCAACAUAUAAAGUUGGCUUUAAAUACAGCCAGAUACAUCGACGACAUAAAGAUCAACAAAUACUUCGAUGGGGAAGAUAUUAAAGCAUUUAAAAAUUAACAGAGAAGAAACAUGUACAGAACUUCAUAAUGAAAUUAACUUGUAAGCUUUUCCACGUAAGUAAAAGCUUUGGUCAAACCAAGGAUUUCAUAGUAGAGUUCACAGUGAAACCAAGACACUGACGAGCCUCCCAACUCCAGCGGGUGAACACUCACCCGAUGUCAGCUAGAGACAUUGGACACAGACGAUGGUUAUAAGGAACUCUUAAGUCAUCGACAAUCUCAUUGGUACAUGACCAGGAAACAAAAACAAACAUCUUGUUUGUCCAUCCCAGAAUAGCAAAUGCAAGAUACCUUUUUGCUGUCAGAGUCACAAUUGCUGUCUCUAAAAGUCUAAAUUCUGCUGCAUCCUUAGAAAUUUGUGUAAAUGGUCACUGGAGCAUCACUACCCUCACAAUGGACCCCAACAAUCUCAAG
rnacentral:lncRNA from 1 species